UUUUCUGUUGUUAUACAUAUUUUAGGUGGUCGUACGGUGUUCUUGUGUGGGAAAUAACAAGUUAUGGAGAUAUACCUUACGCAGAUGCUGAUGGCAAAUCAUUAAUAGAUUUUCUCGGUGAAGAUAAACGACUAGAGAAGCCAAAAUAUUGCAGCCAAGAAACGUAUGACGUCAUGAGCUCGUGUUGGCAGAUGGAACCCAAGGAGAGACCAUCAUUUACUGAGUUAUCGAAGAAAUUUGACGAAUUAUACCAUCAGGAGGUCAGAAAAUACUUUUCUGAAGCACCUGAAGCUGCGAUUGUAGAUGUAGAUACGUACACUGAAAUGAAGCCUAGCACAGAUAUUAUGAUCAACUUCGGAGUGAGCGAAUGAAUAACAAUACGUCACUGAUGCGUCAUACAAAGCCUUUAUAAACUCUGCAAUAUACGUUGUUAUAUAUAUAUAUAUAGGCCUAGGGGUGUGUGUCACCAUUUUGCCGGUUUCAAAUACAAUUUCCGUGAAAAGUUCUGAAGAAUGUUGUUUUUUCAAUGAUUAAAGGGACAUAAUAUUACUUGUAAAUGUAAAUAUAUAUACAUAAUAUAAAUAUAUAUUGUUGACUUAACAUAUGAUAUGUGUGUGCGUGCAUGUGGAGAUGUGUGUUUAUGUAUAUUUGUUUGUGUGUAGCACAAAAAAGGCGUAUGACUCAAAUCCUAAGACGCGGUGUGACGAAGGGUUAACACAAUUUGUACGAUUUUUACUUGUGUAUCUAUUUGUGAUUCUUAACAUUAUUUCUUAAGUAAAAGUUUGAGGAUAUAAUAUUCAUAACCUGUUAAGUACCGUAUCAUUUAUUGUAAAUAAUAGUAAGUAUUCUAAAUAAAUACAUAAUAUUGCUCCAUAUUGGUGGGUUAUUUCAUUUUCAAAAGGCAAUAUUAAUGUAAUGAUAUGCAUAAAAUCAAUUAAACAAAUCAAAAUGCUCCUGAAUUAAUUAACAAUCUUUUAAGUAUCUUUUAACAUCUAAUUACUAUGCAUAUUUAGUGACAACAGCUUGUAGUCAAUCU